rnacentral:rRNA from 1 species
AUUUGAUAAUUUUAUCUUACUUUUUAUUUUUUUUAUUUUUGAGAAAUAUCUUCUUAUUUAGUAUAUUAAGGAAAAAUAUUUAUUUGUUAUAGAGUAAUAGUACUGUAAAGGAAUUGGUGAAAUAAAUUAAAUUUAAAUUUUUUGUAAGUAUGCUUAAUUUGCAGUACCUUUUGUAUCAGGGUUAAUUAAAUAAUUUAAUCUAUAUUUAUAUCUCGAUUUCAAAAGAGCUAAUUUAUUAUUUUAGUUAUUGUGUCAUAAUUAUUUUUAAUAUAAUUUAGUAGAGAAAUUUUAUUCGUUUUUGAGGGUAUCUAGUUUUUUAAGAAUUAAAUUUAAUUUAGUUUUAUUACUUAAAUGUUAUAUUUUAUGUAUAUAUUAUUUAAUAAAUUAAAAUUAAUAGGGGAUAAGCUUUAUAUUUUUCAAUAAAAGUUUUAAUUAAUAGAUUUGGGAGGUUUAAAAUAACCAUCCAUAAGAAAUGGGGUAAAAAUUAAAUCCAAUGGUAAAUAAAUUUGGUAAUUUUAGUAAAAUAUUAAAUACUAUAAUUAAUUUUUUAUUAUAGGAAAUAAUGAUUAAAUUAGUAUAAAAAUAUGUAUGCAAUUUUAUAAUUUGUAUGAUAAAAUAAGGAACUCGGCAAAUAAAGUUCUCGCCUGUUUAACAAAAACAUGGCCUUUUGAAUUUAAUUUAAGGUCUGACCUGCCCAGUGAUAAAUUUAACGGCCGCGGUAUAUUGACCGUGCAAAGGUAGCAUAAUCAUUAGUCUUUUAAUAGAGGGCUGGAAUGAACGGUUUAACGAGGAACUGACUGUCUCAUUUUAUUUGUUUUAAAACUUAAUUUUUUAGUUAAAAAGCUAAAAUACUAUUGGAAGACGAGAAGACCCUAUAGAUCUUUAUAUAAUUUUUUGUAAUUACUUUAAUAUUAACAUGAUUAUUUAAAAAUUAUAUUUUGUUGGGGUGACAAAAAUAUAUAAUCAACUUUUUCAUUUAUUUACCAUUGAUAUAUGAAUAUUAGAUCCACUAUUAGUGAUUGUUAGUUUAAGUUACCUUAGGGAUAACAGCGUAAUCCUCCUCCAGAGUUCAUAUUUACAGGAGGGCUUGCGACCUCGAUGUUGGAUUAAGAUAAUAAUUAGGUGUAGCCGCUUAAUUUAUAGGUCUGUUCGACCUUUAAAC